CUGCUCCCCACCAGCUGGGACCUGGGUUUGGCUCCGCUGUCCGGCCGUGGCUGAAGACACCUAAUAAACCCGACUGCUUCUGCCACGCUGGCUGAGCGGGACGAUAGUCUAGGGAAGGUGGGGUGCAGUGCUCCCUUUGGGGGUACAGGUCUCCCUCAGGUUCCAACCCAGGGGACUCGACUUGCUGCAGGGAGCUUGUGCUGUGACCCAGGGGUGCUGACGGCUCCAGGGGUCGCUUCCAGGAAGCAGUGAAGCCAAGAGGCUGCCCCUAGUGGAAGAGUGUGACCCUGAGGUGGAUGGGCAAGAGGACCCACCAAGGGGUGGCCAUUGACAGGUGGUGUGACCACCGAGCUCAAAGACUCAGAAUGGCUCUCCUUCAGCCCACAUGGGGAAUUCUGCAUGAAGAGUUUCCCUGGGUGCUGCAUGUGUAACGAGGGAAGUGCACCGGAUGCAAAUCAGAAAUCCUCAGAGACAAUCUGGGUACCCUGAAAAGACUUUUGGGAAACUGGCAGUUUAUUACAUCACUGCCACCAUGUGGGAUUACAAACUGUGACUUACCUGUCCGUGUAUUUUAUCUGCUUUAACCUCUCAGUAACUCUCACUACUUUUCUUAACUAGUAAACCUUUAGCUAGUGUCCUAUAGAACUGGCUACCAGCAUUGUCUUGAGUGUAAGGUCUAGAGAACCAGUUGCUGUGAUGAUGUGAUUUUUGGGGUAAGUGACCAUUUUAUCACUCAGUCCAGUUUCUGUGGCAAGAUAGACUGGAGAAUCUAAGGGGACUGUCUGGGACUCCAUGAUCAUACUCGUAUAGUGAUUCAGGAGUCCACGUUUGUUACUGACUUGGUGAAAUCUAUAGAACAUGCCACCAGCUUGCGGGGGGCUCUGUUUUCUGGGAGUUGCACUCAUGGUCGGGAGCCACUCUAGACAGUGCCACAGAUGACCCAGCAGGGGACGCAGGCACCUCUGAGCAGGGGAAGGGAGCUCCCGGGGACAGGGCUUCACCAGGCUGAGCUCCAGAUUUUGUGGUGGGGAAACUGAGGCACAGCCAGCAAGAUGUCACAGGCCCCACCCCAGAAGCUGAAUUUCAGGCUGAGCUUCAGCCAGAUCCCUCCUUGAAGUUGGACCAGCAGUGCAAAUGCCAUCAGGAGGGCUGCA